CCCGGAUAGUUAAUUAUAAACACUUAGGUCGUGACCCUAAAAACAGAGCCCUCUCUUCCGAGCU
rnacentral:tRNA from 1 species